rnacentral:rRNA from 1 species
CCUACGGGUGGCAGCAGUGGGGAAUAUUGGGCAAUGGGCGCAAGCCUGACCCAGCAACGCCGCGUGAAGGAAGAAGGCUUUCGGGUUGUAAACUUCUUUUCUCAGGGACGAAGAAAGUGACGGUACCUGAGGAAUAAGCCACGGCUAACUACGUGCCAGCAGCCGCGGUAAUACGAAGGGUGCGAGCGUUGUUCGGAAUUACUGGGCGUAAAGGGAGUGUAGGCGGAUAUGUAAGAUAGCGGUGAAAUGCCGGGGCUCAACCCCGGAACUGCCAUUAUGACUAUGUAUCUAGAGUAAUGGAGAGGAUAGCGGAAUACCCAGUGUAGAGGUGAAAUUCGUAGAUAUUGGGUAGAACACCGGUGGCGAAGGCGGCUAUCUGGCCAUUUACUGACGCUGAGGCUCGAAAGCAUGGGGAUCAAACAGGAUUAGAUACCCCAGUAGUC